rnacentral:rRNA from 1 species
GAUGAACGCUGACAGAAUGCUUAACACAUGCAAGUCUUUGGCGAAGCUGUGCUUGCACAGCCUAGCCAAGGCGGACGGGUGAGUAACGCGUAAGGGACUUGCCCUGCAGUCAGGGAUAACAGACGGAAACGACUGAUAAAACCUGGUAAAGUCAGGCGGACUCAUGUCCAGCCUGAUGAAAAGGAAUGCUGCAGGAGAGCCUUGCGUCCUAUUAGCUUGUUGGUGGGGUAACGGCCCACCAAGGCGAUGAUAGGUAGCCGGCCUGAGAGGGUGGACGGCCACAAGGGGACUGAGAUACGGCCCUUACUCCUACGGGAGGCAGCAGUGGGGAAUAUUGGACAAUGGGGGCAACCCUGAUCCAGCAAUUCUGUGUGCACGAUGAAGGUCUUCGGAUUGUAAAGUGCUUUCAGCAGGGAAGAAAAAAAUGACGGUACCUGCAGAAGAAGCGACGGCUAAAUACGUGCCAGCAGCCGCGGUAAUACGUAUGUCGCGAGCGUUAUCCGGAAUUAUUGGGCAUAAAGGGCAUCUAGGCGGCCGGAUAAGUCUGGGGUGAAAACUUGCGGCUCAACCGCAAGCCUGCCCUGGAAACUAUGCGGCUAGAGUACUGGAGAGGUGGACGGAACUGCACGAGUAGAGGUGAAAUUCGUAGAUAUGUGCAGGAAUGCCGAUGAUGAAGAUAGUUCACUGGACGGUAACUGACGCUGAAGUGCGAAAGCUAGGGGAGCAAACAGG